GAGCGUAUAGCUCAGUGGUAGAGUGCAUGUUUAGCAUGCACAAGGUCCUGGGUUCAAUUCCCAAUACCUCCA
rnacentral:tRNA from 1 species